rnacentral:rRNA from 1 species
AACGAACGCUAGCGGCGUGCUUAACACAUGCAAGUCGUACGAGAAAUCCCGGGCAACUGGGAGAGUAAAGUGGCGCACGGGUGAGUAACGCGUGGGUAAUCUACCUUGGAGUUCGGAAUAACACCUCGAAAGGGUGCUAAUACCGGAUAUUGUCCCUGAGGUUUCGGCUUCGGAGAUGAAAGAUGGCUGAGGCUUGCAAGCUAUUGCUCCAAGAUGAGCCCGCGUACCAUUAGCUAGUUGGUGGGGUAAUGGCCUACCAAGGCGACGAUGGUUAGCUGGUCUGAGAGGAUGAUCAGCCACACUGGAACUGAGACACGGUCCAGACUCCUACGGGAGGCAGCAGUGAGGAAUCUUGCGCAAUGGGGGAAACCCUGACGCAGCAACGCCGCGUGAGUGAGGA